rnacentral:rRNA from 1 species
AACGAACGCUGGCGGCAUGCCUAACACAUGCAAGUCGAACGAGGCCGUCGGGUCUAGUGUCUCACGGGUGCGGAACGCGUGGGAACCUUCCCGUGGGGUCGGAAUAACUGCCCGCGGGGGAUGCUAAUACGGGAUGAUGGCUACGGACCAAAGAUUGAUGGCCUUGGGAUGUGCCCGCGUUGGAUUAGCUAGUUGGUAACGUAAAGGGCUACCAAGGCGGCGUUACCUAGCUGGUCUGAGAGGGGGAGCGGCCACACUGGGACGGAGACACGGCCCAGACUCCUGCGGGAGGCAGCAGUAGGGAAUCCUCGGCGAUGGACGGAAGUGGGAACGUGCAACGCCGCGGGAGUGAAGAAGCUAUUCGGACCGUGAGGCUCUGGAGUACGAGAGGAUCGAAAGGGUGAGUGGCAAGGGCACACAGUGACGGUAUCGGACCAGAAAGGGACGGCUAACUACGUG